CUUCGGGGCAGGGUGCAAUUCCCGACCGGCAGUAUAGUCUGCGAAGCCCAUGAGGGCCCGAACCGGUGCGAUUCCGGUACCGACAGUACAGUCUGGAUGAGAGAAGGG
rnacentral:ncRNA from 1 species